GCUUUAUAGAUUGUGAAAAUCUUACGGAUAUUAUUUGCAUAAGAAAGAUUUUUAAAGUCUAUUGGGUUGGGGCGACAAAGGUAUAAAUAAAAUAACUGCUAAAUAAUAUUACAGCAAUAAUUGAUUAAAAAUUAGUUGAUCCUUAUUAUGGAUUUAAAGAUCAAGUU
rnacentral:rRNA from 1 species